rnacentral:lncRNA from 1 species
UUCAAAGCGGAAGUAAGGAUGUGUCACAUCCGGCAGCCCGUGGCCUCGGAGGACUGACGGCUGGGGUUCCUCACCAUGACACCUGACCAGUUUUGGGGCCCUCCAUCCUCCACUGACCUGAGGCUGUUCCCAUGAGAUCAAGGCACUUCUUUUUGUCUCACUGCAAGAAGGAUGACAAUGACCUUCCUCUGUUUAUCUUCCUGUUGGUAA